UACGUAGGGCGCAAGCGUUGUCCGGAAUUAUUGGGCGUAAAGAGCUCGUAGGCGGUCUGUCGCGUCGGAUGUGAAAGCCCGGGGCUUAACCCCGUGCCUGCUUCCGAUACGGGCAGACUAGAGGUAUGCAGGGGAGAACGGAAUUCCUGGUGUAGCGGUGAAAUGCGCAGAUAUCAGGAGGAACACCAAUGGCGAAGGCAGCUCGCUGGGACGGUACUGACGCUGAGGCGCGAAAGCGUGGGGAGCAAACAGG
rnacentral:rRNA from 1 species